UACGAAGGGGGCUAGCGUUGCUCGGAUUGACUGGGCGUAAAGGGCGCGUAGGCGGCUUGUACAGUCAGACGUGAAAUUCCUGGGCUCAACCUGGGGGCUGCGUUUGAUACGUAUGGGCUUGAGUUCGGAAGAGGGUCGUGGAAUUCCCAGUGUAGAGGUGAAAUUCGUAGAUAUUGGGAAGAACACCCGGUGGCGAAGGCGGCUCACUGGCUCGUUUCUGACGCUCAGGCGCGACAGCGUGGGGAUCAAACAGG
rnacentral:rRNA from 1 species